AACGAACGCUGGCGGCAUGCCUAACACAUGCAAGUCGAACGAGAUCUUCGGGUCUAGUGGCGCACGGGUGCGUAACGCGUGGGAAUCUGCCCUUGGGUUCGGAAUAACAGUUGGAAACGACUGCUAAUACCGGAUGAUGACGUAAGUCCAAAGAUUUAUCGCCCAAGGAUGAGCCCGCGUAGGAUUAGCUAGUUGGUGAGGUAAAGGCUCACCAAGGCGACGAUCCUUAGCUGGUCUGAGAGGAUGAUCAGCCACACUGGGACUGAGACACGGCCCAGACUCCUACGGGAGGCAGCAGUGGGGAAUAUUGGACAAUGGGCGAAAGCCUGAUCCAGCAAUGCCGCGUGAGUGAUGAAGGCCUUAGGGUUGUAAAGCUCUUUUACCCGGGAUGAUAAUGACAGUACCGGGAGAAUAAGCGCCGGCUAACUCCGUG
rnacentral:rRNA from 1 species